rnacentral:rRNA from 1 species
CACGUAGGGUGCGAGCGUUGUCCGGAAUUAUUGGGCGUAAAGAGCUCGUAGGCGGUGUGUCGCGUCGGCCGUGAAAACCUGCAGCUUAACUGUGGGCUUGCGGUCGAUACGGGCAUCACUGGAGUUCGGCAGGGGAGACUGGAAUUCCUGGUGUAGCGGUGAAAUGCGCAGAUAUCAGGAGGAACACCGGUGGCGAAGGCGGAUCUCUGGGCCUGUUCUGACGCUGAGGCGCGAAAGCUAGGGGAGCGAACAGG